UUAGCACCAUCAUAACCUUUCUUCCCCAGAAUCUCCGGUGCUACAUAAGCAGGGGUACCACAAAGUGUAUGAAGCAACCCGUCAGGUCGGAUCUGAUCCCUGACAGCGCUUAACCCGAAAUCAGUAACUUUCAGGUCCCAAUUUUCGUCCAGUAAUAAGUUUUCCGGUUUCAAAUCACGGUGAUAGACCCCGCGAGAGUGACAGUAUCCAACGGCGGAGAUUAACUGCUGGAAAUAUCGACGGCUGAGAUCUUCGCUGAACCGGCCUUUAGCUAGCUUGGCGAAGAGUUCACCUCCUUUAGCGAAUUCCAGGACGAAGUAGAUUUUCUUCUUAGUAGCAAGAAUCUCAUGUUGCCGUACGAUAUGGGGAUGACGCAACCGACGCAUGAUAGAGAUUUCUCUCUUAACGUGCCCCGUUAGCCCACCUUUGAGUAUUUUCUGUUUGCUGACGACUUUAAUGGCCACACUCUGUGCCGUCCUGAAGUCUCUGGCAUGAUAUACUUUACCAAAAGCACCACAACCCAGGAGUUGUCCCAGUUCAUAUUUGUCAAAAAGGUUUGAAUUAACAUCGUCUUCCGGCGGAGGUAACUCAGCCGGAGUUAAUUCAGCGUAGAUUGCUGCGGCAGUGGAUAGUAAAGAUGUACUGCCUCCAUAGUUAUUAAGUAUGAUCUCUGGCAUAACUGUAAACACAAACCGGAAAGCUAGUAACCCCUUUGUGAAUUUUCUCUAACCUUUGCAUUAAAACACCGAGCAAAUCAAAUUUGCCCGAUAUUAGAAAUUUUGAUAAUACUUGGGUAGCCGUUUUCGUUAAUUAGUGACAAUUAAGAACGAUUUCCAGAAAAAAAUGGAUAGAGUUGCUUAAAGUGUAGAGGAUUCUUAUGGUAGUUGAGUGCAAAACAAAGAAGAUGUAUUUGAUUUUUUUCUUAAAGCAAAAGGGGCAGAGAGAAGAGAGAA
rnacentral:misc_RNA from 1 species